GUGUCAGCAGCCGCGGUAAGACGUAGGGGGCGAGCGUUGUCCGGAAUCAUUGGGCGUAAAGAGCGCGUAGGCGGCUCGGAAAGUCGGAUGUGAAAACCCGGGGCUCAACCCCGGGCCUGCAUCCGAUACUCUCGAGCUCGAGGCAGGUAGGGGAGAUCGGAAUUCCUGGUGUAGCGGUGAAAUGCGCAGAUAUCAGGAGGAACACCGGUGGCGAAGGCGGAUCUCUGGGCCUGUCCUGACGCUGAGGCGCGAAAGCUAGGGGAGCGAACAGGAUUAGAAACCCGAGUAGUCC
rnacentral:rRNA from 1 species